rnacentral:lncRNA from 1 species
AAGCAGGUCCCGCCUCAACCCAAGCCCAAUCCAACAACCAUGUGCACAUAAACAUUUAAUCAUAUAUCAUAUCACAUCCAAUCAAACCGAUCUAACAGAUCACAUAGCAUAACAUUAUCCUAACCAGGAUACUGACCUAACCAGUCACUAGCAUAGCAUCAUCCUAUAUACCAGGAUACUGACCUUAACCAGGUCUCUAACAUAUACCAUCCUAACUACCAGGAUGCAACAUAGCAAAGCAAUAACAUAACAACGAUACCCGGAUCACAAUCCGAUAAAGGGCCGGCCUUGGUGCCGUAGACCCUGUCGAUAUAGUGAGGAUAACUCACCUCGCAACUGCCGACUGAACAGAUAAACCCAAGCUGCUCCGACCACUGAUACGAUCUCCAACACUGGCCAACACCAAAACUCUGAACUCAAAACAAAAGCCAACAAUUACCAAAAUGCCCCUGGAAAUCAACUGGUCAACCCUUGGUCAAAGUCAAAGUCAAAGUCAACCCCUGACUGACUCUACUCGCCGAGUCAACCCGAUGACUCGCCGAGUCCCCAUGCACAGAACUUCCCCAAUCCACGACUCAACUCGCCGAGUCACCCCGAGACUCGCCGAGUCCAACAACUCUGAGUCCUUUCACACUCGACUCACCGAGUCAUCCCUUGACUCACCGAUUCACAGCUCAACCAGAAGAAAGGUUAGGACCUCACGACCAGACUCGCCGAGUCCAAGAACAGACUCGCUGAGUCCAAGGCUAUCUGCAACCAACUCGCCGAGUUUUUCUUCCAACUCGCCGAGUUCCUGACGAUAUUCAACCAACUCGCCGAGUUGUUCUUCCAACUCAUCGAGUUCCGGCCUAUCUUCAAGCAACUCGUUGAGUACACCCUUGUGACUCGCCGAGUACCCCUAGAUCAGAAACCAUACAGAGGCUUUCCAAGCCAUGCAGAAGCUCUAAACCAUAGAUCUACUCUUUUACAAGCCAUCCAUCACGUAAAGUGGCAAACUUUACGUGGAUCCAAAGAGAUCGAGGCAUUUUCCACUCUAGGGCUAGGGUUUGGGACAAAAGAGCUUCACCAAACACUCAAGAAUCGGGACUUUAUGACAUAUAGGACCAUCACAAGCUUAGAUCUGAAGUAGCAUCCUCAGAUCCAAGCUUCUAUCUCAAUUUAUAUGUCAUAUCAACCACCACACAUGGACCCAUGAAGAAAAUAGCUUAAGGAAAUGGUUCCUUACCCAUGGAAUGAGCCCAACCAACUGUAGAUUCAUGAUCACCCCAAGCUUCCUGAUACAAGCCUCCAAUCUUCAAGCUUAAAGCACCAAAGAUCCUGCUCCUAGCUCUAAUUCACUCAACAAUGGGGUCUCCUCACGAAUUUAGGGCUUCUGGAACUCAAGGAAUGGUAAAGAGGCUGGGGAGAAGAUAGGAUGUUCUUUAUAUAGGGCUCAACCCUCGAAAUUAGGGUUUUCUCCACUCAGCACCAACUCGCCGAGUCCAUCCAUGCUACUCGCCGAGUUGGUCACUUAACACGCGACUAGAGUCGCGACCCUACUCGCCGAGUCCACUCGUGGACUCGCCGAGUUGCCCUUUCCCAUUUACACUUUUAGCCCUUCAACUCUACUCUUGAUAUUCCGAGAUGUUACAAUUCUCCCCCACUUAAAUUAGGCUUCGUCCUCGAAUCCUGCAGCAACACGACUCUAGAACUACUCUCACAAUGCACCACCUGGCAUUAACCAGACCAGGUUCCUCAAAACACAACCACCGAAAUCCAAAACCCAAUUUUUCCUUCUCGCGGUGUUCUCAUCGCCGCUUCAAGCUGGCCACUGGCCUCGCCCUCUGACAACCACACUUACCAACUUAUCAACUGAGUAUCAUUCCAUGAUACUUCACCCGCUCCAAAUCACACAAUCACUUGACUCAACGAGCUAGAAAUAACCAUGAACCACCGGAAUUCCCAGUCUGAGCCCAACUUUAUCCAUUCCAUGCUAACAGGAUGACACAUCCUUCAGCCUCAGAGCAACUCCCAUGAGUUUCUCCACUACAAUCGCAUACCCAUGCUGAACUGGCUCUAGCAUCUUCGGGUUGGGAAAACCCGAUACACUGACAACACCUCCAAACAUCCCCCAGGAUGAAUUUCCACCAUAUACAUAAAUCCUUGAUCGAAAUCAAACUGGAAAUCCACGAUACCAUUCCUGCAUUCCUUCCAAGCCUCAGCAAACAUUCAACCCGGAUGUGAUUCCAUACCACAACCGUAGACACACUGCUCAUCAACCAUGAUUGGAACACCCCGAUCAUAACUCUGCACUACUGCUUUCCCUUCCGUGAACUUACACUCCUUCUCGGAGCUCCAUUCCUUUCCCUUUCCUUACCAAGGAAAUCCACUUGGCCGCCUUGUCACUAUGACAAGUGCCACGGUGUUCACCCAAUACUACACCAUUCUCUUAUAGCAUAACCGCUAUCCCAUGCACCACACAUGCUCUCAAUCCACUCGCAAGGACUCUCAAGUCCAUGCUCUACCUUUCACUCACCAUGAUCAAUACCCGGGGCCAGACCUUCUGACGCUAACACGCCGCGACAUACUCAAUCCAUUUCCUCUUACCGAUCUCUCAACACAAAUAGAGUCUUCAGCAUGACUGGACCGCCUUUCCAGGCCUGCAGCCCAUCUGGACCACUCUCGGAACCUUCAGCAGGUCUGGACCGCCCUCCAGGGCCUUCAGCAUGUCUGGACCGUUCUCUAAGCCUUCAGCCUGACUGGUACGCCCACCGGCCUUAAGUCUAUCCGGACCGCUGAACCAGCAUCCAACAUCCCGAAUUAUCCCUCCAGGAAAACUCUCCCAUGCAUAUUGUUCUAGCCCUCUAGGGGUUCCGAACUCUAUCUCCACCCUACAUACUCAAUCCCGGCCCGAUCCCAGGCCUUCAACAAUCAAUCACCCUUGGUCUGUAUCUCGCCCCGCAUACCUGUCACUUACUCAUACCAGCCUAUACUCUUGGCUAACAAAACCACUGCUGAAUCCCAAGCAGCUAAGCAACCUCUCAUAACCAUCGACCUUCCGGAGAAUUUUCCAAUUCUCCCCCACUUAGAGCACUGACUAUCAACCAUCGGUCGCCAUCACCGACCUCCCUCAACAACCCUACACAACACAAACACUUACACGCAAACUGAUUCCCACUAGAACGAGCAACCUUCAAAAAAUCACAUAUCAACACAAAUCAUCUCAGCUCGAAAGAAACCCGACCUUCAGCAACCACUCCACAGACUGCAGAUGAUAACCGACAUUCGGACUAAAAGCCAAAUUCCCACUAAUAACCCUCAUGAACGAUAACAAAUGAAAUUCCCAACACCAAACCCUUAACCCUACCAUAACCCUCAAGGAACAACGAAUACAAUAAGAAACCACACAACGAGACUAGCAGAUAUACAAUACCCCACAAUAAUCAUAAUAUAACAAGACAUCAAGAAAGAAACCUACCCGCAGCUGCAUCCGGUACUGCUCUGACCUCCUUUGCUGUGAGCUGAAAAGCACGACCCUGAGCCCUUGGGGGCUCUGCUCCACCCUGACCUCCGCCCGUGAUCCUCAAUGUGGCCGCUGCUGGAGCCUGUACCGGUCCUGCAGCAAGCUGUGGACAGUUGACCCUCAAGUGUCCAACCUGAUGACAAUGAUAACAAAUCCUCAAAUCCCGACCCGGGGCUGCCUGCCGACAAUCCCUCGCAUAGUGCCCCUCCUUUCCGCACUUGCGGCAUGCACCACCGGACCUACAAACCCCGGUGUGACCCUUCCCACACUUCCCACAAGUGUGGCUGCUCUGAUCUCCCAAUCUAGAAUCAACGGUCUUGGACCGUUUCGGCGCCGGCUGCNNNNNNNNNNNNNNNNNNNAACUCAAUCUCCAACUCACGCCGCCUGGCGGCCUCCUGCAACUCUAACAAGGUCUCGCACCUCUGCGUAGACACAAACUGCCUGAUAUCCCUCUUGAGCAUACUCAGAUAUCGGGUCAUCUGAGCCUGCUCCGAAGCAAACUCGGGGAAAAACAUCGCCCUCUCAAUGAACAUCCUGGUGAUCUCCGUCACCGACUCUGAAUCCUGCUUCAGCUCUAGGAACUCCUGAGCCAACCUCUCUCUCUCAACCCACGGCACAUAACGAGUACCGAACAUCUCCCGAAACUGAUCCCAUGAAACCGCAGCUCUGUGCGCAUCCGAAUACGACCCUAUGGUCAAUCUCCACCAAUCCUUCGCCCCGAGCCUUAACAGGUUCAGAGCACACCUCACUCUCUGAUCAGCAGGGCACGAACACAUGAAGAAACACCCCUCCACAUCCGACAACCAUCUCAUAGCAACAAUCGGGUACUGGACUCCAUCGAAGGUAGGAGGCUUUGUAUUAUCGAAGUCCCGAUAUUGAAAACCCUGACUAGCUCCUCCCCCUGCCGUUGCUACAGCCGCUAUAGCCGCCACGGCAGCCGUCUCUGUGAGAGCCGCAUAGCGCUCAUCAAAAUACUCAACCAUGGCGGUCUUGAUCGACCCAAACAGUUCCGGCAACUCCGCCCGGAACAACGCAGCAACCUCAUCAUGCAGGAUCUCACGAAUCCUCGCAUCCAACUCGCACGUGCUCACCUGACCAAUAACCUCGGGCUGUACUGACCCGCCCUGAACUCUCUCUCCUGCUCCCGAUCGUGACCCGGAUCCACUCCCAGCAUGCCUCAGAACCUCCAUACUGAAAACACCACAAGAUCUCUGAUACUCCCCACAAACCCGGGAACCAACUCCCAGCCCAACCCUGGAGGUCAUGGUUUCUUUGAUACGCGUAUGGGUCCUGUGCUUUCAGUAGUACGGGCCCAUACUACAUUCCACACCUACCCAUAUUUCUAUCAAUUAUACCACAACACCCUAGUGAAGAACAUACAUAACAAGCACUCAACCCUCACUCCUAGAGGAACACUGGAAAUCUCCCACAAAGGAAACCCUAGGCUAACAGGCAUCAUAAAUCAGGCAACAUUAUCAUGAAAUCCUGAAGAUCCCUAGCCUAGUACUAGCAUGCUGUUCUAUCAAAGCUCAAAACAAAUAUCAUGUAUGGUAUUUUGGGGUUACUUACUGGCUCCAGCUGAUCGUACCGCCGCGUCCUCCUUUACUCAUUUUGAAAACCAUUUUAAAUUCUCUUUUGAAAACCCUCCUCGAUUUGAGACUGGAUUCACACGAAUGUUCCUCCAAUUCACUCAAACCAAGGCUCUGAUACCAACUUGUAACGACCAUAAAAUUCCAACCAAUUUAAACUUUUCAAAAACAACCCGAUUUCAUAAAAUUAUUACAAAAAGGUUUUCAAUACAAUUAUUUCAGAGUAUUCCCAGAAUCACAUCACAAAACAUAAUCAUGAGGAGCGGUANUACGAUCACGCUUGCCUUGCCAUGGUCUCCUGAAGAACCUGAAAAACGUUAAACCACAACUAUAAGCCCGAAAGCUUAGUGAGAUAUCCCCCAAAUACCAACCACAUAUACCAUACACGCAUAACAUGCCAUAUCAUAACAGAACACAGAACAGCCAUGCACUUCGGGUCUACUGUGUGACUGGUCCGCCGUACCGGCCUUCAGUCCACCUGGUCCACCCUCCGAGUCUAACCACAUACAUCGAGUCUACAGUGUGAUUGGUCCGCCCGCACCGGGCCUUCAAUCCACCUGGUCCACUCUCUGAGUCUACAGUAUGACUGGUCCGCCCGCACUGGGCCUUCAGUCGGCCUGGUCCACUCUCCGAGCCUCGGCACGUCUGGUCCGCCCUCUUGGGGCCUACAGCCUAUCCGGACCGCUCGCUGGGCCUUCGGGAUAACCGGUCCGCCCUGGGUAUGUUGGCCUACAGCACAAAGCAGGUCCCGCCUCAACCCAACCCCAGUCCAACAACCAUGUGCACAUAAACAUUCAAUCAUAUAACAUAUCACAUCCAAUCAAACCGAUCUAACAGAUCACAUAGCAUAACAUCAUCCUAACCAGGAUACCGACCUAACCGGUCACUAGCAUAGCAUCAUCCUAUAUACCAGGAUACCGACCUUAACCAGGUCUCUAACAUAUACCAUCCUAACUACCAGGAUGCAACACAACAAACAAAACAUAACAACGAUACCCGGAUCACAAUCCGAUAAAAGGGCCGGCCUUGGUGCCGUAGACCCUGUCGAUAUAGUGAGGAUAACUCACCUCGCAACUGCCGACUGAACAGAUAAACCCAAGCUGCUCCGACCACUGAUA